CCCCUUCCGUCUUCCCUCUGGCUUCCGGCUGUGUAGACACAUCUGGCUCCAUGAAUACCCUGGGCUGCCUGGUCAAGGGCUACUUCCCAGAGCCAGUGACAGUGACAUGGAACUCAGGGGCCCUGACCAGCGGAGUGCACACCUUCCCGGCUGUCCUUCGGUCAGGCCUGUACUCCCUCACCAGCAUGGUAACUGUGCCCUCCAGCCAGAAGAAGGCCACCUGCCAUGUAGUCCACCCGGCCAGCAGCACCACGGUGGACAAGGAUGUUGAGUCCAAGCCCCCAGUACCUGUACCUACGUGUCCCACAUGUCCCACAUGUCCCAAGUGCCCACCUCCUCAAGACCUAAUAGGACCAUCCGUCUUCAUCUUCCCCCCAAAGCCCAAGGACACACUCAUGAUCUCCCUGACCCCCAAGGUCACAUGUGUUGUGGUAGAUGUGAGCCAGGAUGAUCCUGAAGUCCAGAUCACAUGGUUCAUGGAUGACAAACAAAUGCACACAGUUGAGACGAAGCCCAGACAGGAGCAAUUCAACACCACAUACCGUGUGGAGAGCAUGCUCUCUAUCCAGCACCAGGAUUGGCUGAAGGGCAAGGAGUUCAAGUGCAAGGUCUUCAACAAAGCCCUACCAGCCCCCAUUGAGAGGACCAUCUCCAAAGCUAAAGGGGCACUCCGGGUGCCGGAUGUGUAUACUCUGCCGCCAUCCCGAGAAGAGCUGUCCAAGAACAAAGUCAGUUUGACCUGCCUGGCCAUCUCCUUCUUCCCUGCCGACAUCCAUGUGGAGUGGGCAACCAAUGGACAACCAAUGAAUGAGCAAGACUACAACAACACCCCACCUGUUAAGGACACUGACGGGUCCUACUUCCUCUAUAGCAAGCUCACUGUGGAAAAGAGCAAGUGGGAGCAAGGAAUUGUCUUCACCUGCUCCGUGAUGCAUGAAGGCCUGCACAAUCACAUCACUCAGAAGACCAUCUCCCGGUCUCCGGGGCUGGACCUGGAUGAGAGCUGUGCCGAGGCCCAGGAUGGGGAGCUGGAUGGGCUGUGGACAACCAUCACCAUCUUCAUCACCCUCUUCCUGCUCAGCGUGUGCUACAGCGCCACGGUGACCCUUUUCAAGGUGAAGUGGAUCUUCUCCUCAGUGGUGGAACUGAAGCAGACCAUCGCCCCUGACUACAGGAACAUGAUCGGGCAGGGGGCUUAGAGCCUACCCCUCAAGGGCUCAGGCUUCCCAGGCCCUUGCAGGAUCCCAUCCAUCACUUCCAGCAGCUCAGCCCCAGGUCACACACUCCUCUGACCUCGCUGCCUCUCUGACCCUGUGGUUCAGUGACCAUGCGCUCCCACCCUCCCCGCUCUGGAGGACUCGUGGAUAGCAGGUGCGCCCAGCCUCAGCAGCCUGGACAUGCGCCACCCCUGGAGCAGUCUCCAUGACCCUGGCUGAGACAAGAGAUGCAGCUUCCUUCUGCAGGACAUCCCUGCCUUAUGAGCAGGGUGGUCACCCAAGAGGAGGCAGAGACCAGCAUUGGCCAUGUCCAUCUGGGUGGAGACCAGCCUUGGAGACAGCCCUGUCAACACCAGCCUGUCCAGCACAGGGCAUCUCAGAGAAACGUGAGGCUGAGACCUUCCAGAGAGACUGCUGUACUUAGCGUGGCAAACAUGAUCAGUGGCCCUCAGCAGAGGUUUAGAAAGGGCUGCUGACAGUCACCCCGAUGGACUGUACCAGCCCAAGCCUAGAGGGCCUGUGCUGGGCACUUCUAUGGAUAGGGCCUUGAGCAAUGGUUCAUAUUAUCCUCAUGUGUCCUCUGAUGGGGACUCUGAGUACUGUCCCUCCUCGUGGCCCACAUUGCACACUGCUGGGUCCAACCCAUAGGGAUGGACCACCCCAGGCUUCUCUGCACUUGUGAUAAAGAGCUGGGCUCAGGAUACUACCACCUCCCCCUGGAAGCCCAGUGCCACUCCUGGGAAGCACUCAAGGGAAGAUCUGUGCCACCUGGUGGCUGCAGAACACCAGCAAGGGCAGAAGUGGGUGGCUGUCAUCAUUUGUACCUCCAGGAAGGUCUGGUGAGCAAGCUUCAGGCAGGCCAGACUCGUCCUUCUGGUUUUCAAGGAUAGAGGAGGCCCGAGAGCCCCAGCCAAGCCCCAGCCAAGGCACAGCUUGAUGGCUACUAAAAGCAGCAGGGCUCAGACAGGCCUGUCCUGCAGGACCAGUGUCCACUCCGGAGCACUGAAAGCAGGAACCCCCAGUUGGACAAGAUACCCACAGAGAGAGCCCAGUGGCCAGGAGCCAGGGCUAGGCUGGCACUGGACAGAGGGUCCAUGUGCCACGGUCCUAUCCAGCAUGGGGAAAAUGCCAAGCCACACCCUCCAGUCAGGAAGAAAGACACAAGCAAGAAAGGAGAGCAGACACCACUCCAUGUUGCAGGAAAGCCCAAGGACAGGUCUGUUCAGCUUUGUAGCUUUGUUCUGCUUGUAGUGUUCUGGAACCUCUGAUGUUGUGAAAGUUCUCUCUUUAAUGGUAAUAAACAUCCUUUAAAGACUGUUC